rnacentral:rRNA from 1 species
CGCGUAGGCGGCCCGCUAAGUCGAACGUGAAAUCCCCGGGCUCAACCCGGGAACUGCGUCCGAUACUGGCAGGCUUGAAUCCGGGAGAGGGAUGUGGAAUUCCAGGUGUAGCGGUGAAAUGCGUAGAUAUCUGGAGGAACACCGGUGGCGAAGGCGGCAUCCUGGACCGACACUGACGCUGGGGCGCGAAAGCUAGGGUAGCAAACG